rnacentral:rRNA from 1 species
CUUUGAUUAUGGCUCAGGACGAACGCUGGCGGCGCGCCUAACACAUGCAAGUCGAACGAGAGAGGAAGAGCUUGCUCUUCUGAUCGAGUGGCGAACGGGUGAGUAACGCGUGAGGAUCCUGCCUCAAAGAGGGGGACAACAGUUGGAAACGACUGCUAAUACCGCAUAAGCCCACGGCUCGGCAUCGAGCAGAGGGAAAAGGAGCAAUCCGCUUUGAGAUGGCCUCGCGUCCGAUUAGCUAGUUGGUGAGGUAAUGGCCCACCAAGGCGACGAUCGGUAGCCGGACUGAGAGGUUGAACGGCCACAUUGGGACUGAGACACGGCCCAGACUCCUACGGGAGGCAGCAGUGGGGAAUAUUGCACAAUGGGGGAAACCCUGAUGCAGCGACGCCGCGUGGAGGAAGAAGGUCUUCGGAUUGUAAACUCCUGUUGUUGAGGAAGAUAAUGACGGUACUCAACAAGGAAGUGACGGCUAACUACGUGCCAGCAGCCGCGGUAAAACGUAGGUCACAAGCGUUGCCCGGAAUUACUGGGUGUAAAGGGAGCGCAGGCGGGCGAUCAAGUUGGAAGUGAAAUCCAUGGGCUCAACCCAUGAACUGCUUUCAAAACUGAUUGUCUUGAGUAGUGCAGAGGUAGGCGGAAUUCCCGGUGUAGCGGUGGAAUGCGUAGAUAUCGGGAGGAACACCAGUGGCGAAGGCGGCCUACUGGGCACCAACUGACGCUGAGGCUCGAAAGUGUGGGUAGCAAACAGGAUUAGAUACCCUGGUAGUCCACACCGUAAACGAUGAUUACUAGGUGUUGGAGGAUUGACCCCUUCAGUGCCGCAGUUAACACAAUAAGUAAUCCACCUGGGGAGUACGACCGCAAGGUUGCAACUCAAAUGAAUUGACGG